rnacentral:rRNA from 1 species
AGAGUUUGAUCCUGGCUCAGGAUGAACGCUGGCGGCGUGCUUAACACAUGCAAGUCGAACGAGGUCCAUGGAGCUUGCUCCGGAAGACCUAGUGGCGAACGGGUGCGUAACACGUGAGAAACCUGCCCCGAUCUCUGGGAUAACAGUUGGAAACGACUGCUAAUACCGGAUGCCGUCUCACCGCUUCAUGGCGGAGUGACGAAAGAUUUAUCGGAUCGGGAGGGUCUCGCGGCCUAUCAGCUAGUUGGAGAGGUAACGGCUCACCAAGGGAGGCAGCAGUGGGGAAUCUUGCACAAUGGGCGAAAGCCUGAUGCAGCAACGCCGCGUGCGGGACGAAGGCCCUAGGGUUGUAAACCGCUUUCAGUAGGGAAGAAAAUGACGGUACCUACAGAAGAAGGUGCGGCCAACUACGUGCCAGCAGCCGCGGUGACACGUAGGCACCAAGCGUUAUCCGGAUUUAUUGGGCGUAAAGAGCUCGUAGGCGGUUUGGUAAGUCGGGUGUGAAAACUCUGGGCUCAACCCAGAGAGGCCACUCGAUACUGCUAUGACUAGAGUACGGUAGGGGAGCGGGGAAUUCAUGGUGUAGCGGUGAAAUGCGCAGAUAUCAUGAGGAACACCAGCGGCGAAGGCGCCGCUCUGGGCCGUAACUGACGCUGAGGAGCGAAAGCAUGGGUAGCAAACAGGAUUAGAUACCCUGGUAGUCCAUGCCGUAAACGUUGGGCACUAGGUGUGGGUCUCAACCAACGAGAUCCGCGCCGUCGCUAACGCAUUAAGUGCCCCGCCUGGGGAGUACGGUCGCAAGACUAAAACUCAAAGGAAUUGACGGGGGCCCGCACAAGCGGUGGAGCAUGU